UGUCCUUUAUCGAGCCCAUCUUUGCAUGAAAUGUUCCCUUGGUAUCUCUAAUUUUCUUGAAGAGAUCUCUAGUCUUUCCCAUUUUGUUGUUUUCCUCUAUUUCUUUGCAUAUUACAAUGAUAUAUCUUAAUCAUGGGAAUGCUUUUCUCAGGCUCUGAGUUAAUUAUAACAUAAUUAUAAUAUAAUUAUAACUGUAAUUAUAACAAUAUAUCUUGACUGGGAUUUUGUUCUUUCUCAAGACUGGCACUACUGAAGCCCAGAGACAUGUUGCCUGGAACAUGUUACUCCUGGCUAAUCUUUUGCUGAUGUUGUCUCAAGAAGUAUGUUGUGGGAGAAGGGUCCGGUAAAACUUUUACAGACUUGAAGUAUUCUUUUUAUCUAUUCUCAGCAGCCAAUUGAAAAGUAUAUAAUGCUCAGCUCAUACUAGCAAAGUGGAUACUCUUCUACCUUCCUUCCAGUUCCUUAUGCUGGAAGCUUUCCUUAUCCUUUCACUUUAACAAAAUCUCUGCUGCACAAAGCUGAGACUGUGUCUUUGGUCCCAGAGUGAAAUCUUCUUCAAAGGCCAUGAACCCGACACCAACCACCAUAAGUGAAAGUGGAGUCACUCAGUGGUGUCUGACUCUUUGUGACCCCAUGGACUGUAGCCUACCAUGCUCCUCCGUCCAUGGGAUUUUCCAGGAAAUAACUGGCCAAGUAGUUAACCUGAACCUCUUUUGUACAAUGAUCAUCUAGAUGUUCCACCUACCCUCACAAGUGGUUUCGAGGAUCACACGACACAAUUCAUAUGGAAAUCCUUUGAAGCCUGAAAGAAUUAUGAUAAUAUGUGGGGAAAAUUCUGGAGCCUUGAAUUUGGUCCUUCUUCCUGCUGGUAGACAGAAUAUAUGAACUUCACUACUGCUUCUCAGCCUGUAUAAAAUUAUUACAAAUAAAAUAAAAAAGGACUGAAUCCCC